CAAGCACAGAUGUCUUAGCAAGGUAUUUCCAAGCAAGGCAGAUAGCCAAGGGACAGAAGGUUAUAUGUAGACAAUCCAAGUAAUGAAGUAUUCUUAGGUAUAGGGAAUAAUAAUGCAGCCAAAAAAAAUUAAAAAGGCUCACACAGAAAGGCAUAGUUUCUUUUAGUUAAAUGAAAUACAUUUAAAUACUGUGUUCACAUAACGUUCUGGCUGGGUUAGUUGUAUGAAAAACAAAAGAGUGCCAAAGUCAAGUCAUAGAUUGCACAUAUUGUCCAGAAAAAUAGAGUAAAAAUGCCAAUUCUGCCUUAAUGUGCCUAAAGCAAUACUGCUGUAAACACGCAAAGAUAAUCUGUGGCAAAAAUAUUGUAUGCAGCUCUCAUAUCUCUGAAGGUUUCAAGGUGCCAUCGCGUGCUGGUGCACCUGUGCCGUAGCCCUCAGCACGUCCAUCAUCACCCCCAGAGCCAGGCAUGGUGCCACCUGGCUGUGUGUGCAGAGGGUGAGUAAGAGAAAGCU
rnacentral:lncRNA from 1 species